CCCAAAAGUCUCAGUGCCAUUUUAUGCUUUAAUAAUUUAAAAUGCACUGACACUUUGGGGC
rnacentral:pre_miRNA from 1 species